rnacentral:lncRNA from 1 species
GGCCUGCCUGCCUCUGCUCCCUGGGACACAGGGCAGAUUUACUCCUCAUGAGCAGUAAUAACCAGCACUUUUGUGUACCAGGCAAAUGCCCAUAAAGAAAUUAGCAUGUAAUUUGCCUAAUUAGAUUAGGCAAAAUUUAAUUUACCUAAUCUUAAUGACAACCCAAUAAAACAGUAGACUCUUAUCAUACCCAUUUUAUAGAUAAGGAAAUAGAGGUCCAAAGAAAUUAAGUAUCAUAUCUUUCAUUAGUGGUAAAUCUAGAUUUGCACCCAAGCAGUCUAGCCCCUGAUAGUCUGUCUUCUUACCCACUAUGUACUCUUUAUUUUUAAACUCUCCCUCCAACUCCCCCAAAUGAGACACACCCUACCCCUGCCUACAUCUCCCACUUUCCCCAGACUAGAAAUGAGUUAUAAUCGGCUCACCAUCUCUGUCCUCAGAUUUCCCUUAACUAACAUUUUUCUUAAAAACAUUGGAUGGGAACAAUAAUGCAGCUAACCUAAGACAGAAAAUCUAAAAAUAAUUUCUCCUUAGUUUUGACACUUAUCAGUGUUCUUACUGCUAUUGCUCUGGCAGAUUCGCUUUUCUACUUGCAUGGGGCUCCAUGAGCACCACUGAGCCAUGGCUGGUGGUGGCCUAGGACAUUUGAAUGUGGCUGGAAGCCUCACUGGGCUGGAGAGAUAGAUCUGGGACUCAGAUUUAGCUGCAGAGCAGUUCAACUGAUCUUUCAUAAUGAUGCUGUCAUUGGUCGUUUCAAUAGUCAAUCAAGACACUUUGAAAGGAGCUGCAGAAUAGAAGAGGUGAGAGACAGACAGGAUUUCUGCACAGGCUAUGGAAGAAUACCUCUGGAAUCAAACCCUGGCUCAACAACUUUGGAGCCCCAAGAACUUUGGAGAAUGCAUCCAUUUUUCUUGAGCCUUAAUUUUUAUAACUAAAUGAAGAUAAUGAUGCCUGAUUUGUGUGGUUGUGUGGAGAAUUAGACAUAUUUGAAAGAAAAUCCAUAACACAGUACCAGGCACAAAGAAAAUAACAAAGGGUGGGGUUACUAACUGUAUCAUGGUAUAACUCUACCUCCUACCACAUCCAUCCACUCAGCAGCUGGCAACUGCUUUCCUACUCUUACAAACUUU